UACGGGGGGAGCAAGCGUUGUUCGGAUUUACUGGGCGUAAAGGGCUCGUAGGCGGCCAACUAAGUCAGACGUGAAAUCCCUCGGCUUAACCGGGGAACUGCGUCUGAUACUGGAUGGCUAGAGUUUGGGAGAGGGAUGCGGAAUUCCAGGUGUAGCGGUGAAAUGCGUAGAUAUCUGGAGGAACACCGGUGGCGAAGGCGGCAUCCUGGACCAACACUGACGCUGAGGAGCGAAAGCCAGGGGAGCAAAGCGGG
rnacentral:rRNA from 1 species